rnacentral:rRNA from 1 species
UACAGAGGUCUCAAGCGUUGUUCGGAUUCAUUGGGCGUAAAGGGUGCGUAGGCGGCGCGGUAAGUCGGGUGUGAAAUCUGGAGCUUAACUCCGAACUGCAUUCGAUACUGCCGUGCUUGAGGACUGGAGAGGAGACUGGAAUUUACGGUGUAGCGGUGAAUGCGUAGAUAUCGUAAGGAAGACCAGUGGCGAAGGGCGGGUCUC